AACAAUGAGGAUAAAAGGAUAUG
rnacentral:piRNA from 1 species